rnacentral:lncRNA from 1 species
GGGGGGGGCGCGGGGCAGCCCAGGGGCAGCGCGGGCUGCGCUGCAGUUUGGGGACGAACGCUUUGGUCGCUGCUGGGUUGGGGGGUUCUCAUCUUCCCGUCCCGGAGCCUCAGACGCGCGGCAGACGUCGCCGCUCCGGGUUUGAGGAAUACGGGAAUCCUCGGAGGGACGGCGCGGCCCGCACCGCCGGGAGGGCUCGGAAGGGCAGCGCCGCACGUGGUUACGGACCGCACGGCGGAACGGGACGGCAGCGGGGCUGCACCGCAUGGGACGGACGGCGACGCGCAGCGCCACGCCGGGUCGGGUCGGGUCGGGCCGUGCGUGCGGCAGUGCCCGCGGGCUCCGCCAUCGCCCCGCGCCGAGCUGCGGCCACGCGACCAUCGCGGCCCGUGGGAGCAGCGCGGCGGGGCCGCCCGGCGUGUCAGCACCUUCAACUCCGGAGAAACGGAGGCCGCCUCCGUUUGCUCCCCGAACCAACAGCCGGGGCCGGGGGGGGCGCCGAGAAACGGGCGUGAAAACGGACGGGGCGGCGCGGUGCGGGAUUUGGGGGGGGGGGGGGCGGUGAGGGGGGUCACGUCCGGGCGCGGCGGGCAGCCCCGCGCGGUGCGGUGCGGUGCAGUGCAGGCCCGGCCCGGCCCCCCCGCCCCCCUCCGCGGCGGCUCUCACCGCCCCACGAGGGGUACCGCCGCGCCGCCCCGCGCGCUGCGGGCUUUCGGGCCGCGCCCUCCGCACCCCCUCCUCCCCCUCUCCACCCCCACCCCCCCACCGGUCCCGGCGCGCCCCCCCCGCCCCGCGCCCCGCACCGCUCCGCAGCCCCACGUGCCCCGCGCCGCCCGCAGCCGCGCCGGCUCCAACAUGGCGGACAGGAAGCGGCCCCAGCGCGGCGGAGAAGCUUCCAGCCGGGCCGGGGGAGGCGGCGGCGGCGGCGGAGGAGGACGAGGACGAGGAAGGCCCCGCCGCCGCCCCGCCAAGGGGACGCCCGCCGCCCCCCGCCCCGCACCUGUUCUCCGCUUGGGCCCCUCCGGGUGGCGGAGCGUCGCUUUGGGCUGGGCCCGGCCGUCGGGCGGCGGCAGGAAGGCGCUCUGCGGGUAAUAGCAGAAGUGGCGGUGGUGCGGGUGGUGGUGGUGGUGGUGGUGCGGGUGGUGGUGGUGGUGCGGGUGGUGGGGGGCUGCUCCUCCAUUGGGGGAGGGGGGAGGGGGGGAAGAGGCUGAGCGGGGCCGGGCCGGGCUGGGCGCUCUCUCGCUGCUGGGCCGUGCGGCGGAGCGGGGACGCGGCUCCGGGUGGCGCGGGGGAGGCGGGGGGGGAGGGCGGCGAGAGGCAGCGCUGCAAUCAGAGAGCGGCGCCGCCCCGCGCCCCGCCCCGCAGCGACACGGAGCGGCGGAACGGGAAGCGGAGAGCCGGGAGAGGGGCGGCCCCGGGGGGGGGGGGGGCGGGGGGGGAGAGGGGGGGGUUGGGGGGAGCGGUGCGGUGCGGUGGGACCGGCGGUGCUUCUGGGCGAUUCCCGAAGAAACGGGGGAGGUUUGGGGGGAACGGCGGAGGAGGGCGAUGAGCCGAGCGGGCUGCGGGAAGGCGCAGCGUCCAAACGCGUGCUUCCCUACGGCUUCCAGCGCGGAAUCGCGGCGCGUCCCGGCAUGGGAGGGACCCCCGAGGAGCGUCGGGCUCCGCACGGCAGCGCCCCGCGGCCUCUGCCCUCCGUCUGCAGCUCCAUCCCGCACAGCCCGCUGAUGUCUGCGGCCGUCCGAGCCCACGGCGGGACGUCCCCGUCCGGGUGGCGGAUCCCCAGGGCUGUGCGGUGCUUCCCCUGCAUUCAGCACAGCGAUCCCAGCCCUUAUCCCUGCCCCGGCGCUGCCCGGCGUGGCCCCGUGGCGCAGCGCGGACCCCCAAUUGCUCACGGACACCCGACGGGGCGGUGGGAUUCGGGGUGAGGAGGCGGCGCGCUCUGUUGGCAGGGCGGAGGGGUGGGGAGUCCCAGAGGGACACACUUGGGAUGGAGAGACCCAACAGAGAGCCCACGUUUUGGCUGGUGGGAUGGAGAGCCCCACGCGGGCAGUGCGCAGCGAGGCUUUACCUCCUGCAGCAGACAGGAGGCAAGAAGGGCAAGAAAACGGGCUGAGGGAAUUAAAGCCCAUCGUAACGCCCUCCAAAGGGGCACACAGAGCGCACAGACCGUCCUUAAACACCGCUUCCUGCCCCCAUAUAAAUACUCGGUAUGGCAAUAAAGCAAAAAGAAAAGGCCGCGGUGCCCGGAGAGCCCCCCCAGCACCACACAGAGCCCUCCCCGCCCCUCACUGCAGCACAGGGGGUCCUUCUGCCCAACCCCACACACAGAAGGCAAAACCGUUCCCACUGCGCUGCCUCGGUGACCUCACGGCCCUCAGCGAGGAGCCGGGCUGUAAUCAUGGCCCACGUGUUAUUGGUGGCUUGGAAGCAUUUAUUCUUAAGAGGGGACCGGUUGGGAGACAGACGCUUCAAAGGACUCCGGAGAAAGCAAACAAUUAUGGACAAAUCACCUCCACACACACAGACACCGGGAAUCGAAACGCAAAGGGCAGAGGGCUGUCUGUACAGGGAGAUGAAGCAACUGUUUGUCUCCUUGAAGCACCACCCUGCGUGUGCGUUACGUUAACCGUCCAAAGCAGGCAAAACCAGAUGAAAGCAUAAAUAGAAACCCAUGAGCUCACAGCCCCGGGCCCUCCAGGCCGAGCUGCACAGCCAGGGACGCAGCACGGAGACGUGCUGAGGGCACUGGGAGUUCCAGCCUCACACCGUGCUGUAUGCUGGGCUGUGCAGCUCACAGCCUGCUCCCACAUUGCCCACUGCUGGAGCACUCCGUGUCCUCCCAGCAGGCUGACAGGACACCACGCAGCACAGCACUGCACAGCAUGCUGUCGUGCAGCAGUUUGGGAUGUGCUCUAUGGGAAAGGGAAACUUGCAAACCUCUCUUCCUGCCGUGGGGUUCCUCCCCGCUGCUCGCUGAGCGUGGCACAUCAGCAGGCUGUCCUGCAAAGGAAGAGGUGAUUUUGCUUGGAACUCCGCUGCCAUGGCCGAGCAUUGCCACACUGAGCAGCCACCGGGCACAGCCGUAACUUCGAGCUCUGCAACUGCAAAGGUUGUUUUGCAAAGCUCCGAAGUGGGGUUGUGCAGAGAGCGCCGUUCGCAGCUGCAGUGUGAGGGCAGUGAGGAACAGAUGGGCUGCUAUGGAAAUGGGGAGGAAGAGCCCCUGGAGGUGAGGGGAGCUUGGAAGUCGUGUGCAGACGCAGUUCAACUUCCAAGCUUAUCCCAGUGAUGGGUAAGGAUAACUGCUAAGGAUAAUUUCCUCCCGAAGGCUUUUUUAUGACACCACAUUCGGUUUGCAUUGAAUGUUCAGGGCGAGCUGAGGCUGACAUCAGAAAAUUCAUCCGUGGAGAGGAUUUCUUCAUCCACGGAAAGAAAAGGACUUCUUGUGCCCACCUCCCCCUUAAGGCUCAGCUCUGAGAGGCAUCCCAGUCACUGUAGGUACAGACAGUGGGAAAGGAGACUCCACAAACCCCAGCUCUUGGGACCCAGCCAUGGCACAGCACAACCCGGUGCUAUUGGGGUGAGCACCUCCGAGCAGUGCUGCCUUUUAGGAUGAGCGCAGGGCUCACAGGAGCAGCACAAACCCGUGGUGCUCCUUUAGGAGCCCAGCACACGGAUUGCUGCUGGCGGCGGACUUUGACCUCUGGAAGACCAACGGGAAAAGCUCAAUCCACAAAUCCCAAGGACUUUUCGUCUCGUUACACAACACGGCAGUCAGGUGGGUGCUGGCCAUUUGUUUGGUGUUCUCGUUGCGUUUGGAUACCAGGCACUUGCUUUGAAGCAGGGACUUGUAAAGAGAAAGAUGCAGUGGGUACGUAUGCAUCCAGCAUGCAGAAGGUGAAAUAUUUCUGCUUGGACUUAAGGUCCCUAACCUAAACAUGUCCGGCCAUGGCAGAACCCAAACCUGGCAGGUGAGUAUUGGAGUUCUUAUGUUCAUGAUGUGGGUCCAGAACAACCACGGUUGACUACAAGAGUAGGGAGUGAGAGGAGCCCUUUUCAGGAGCAACACUGAAGGGUGGGAGGUCUGCAGUGAAGGUACAGCAGGAGGCAGAGCCCAGAGCCCGCAGGCUGAGAACUUCUGCUCACCUUCUUUCCAGUUAUUGGAACACGGAGGGUGGGCAAAUAGCAACUUAAAUGAUAAGCAGCCACCUCGUAGUGCUCUGCAUGAAGCAGAGUUCACAGACAUUCGGAGCAAGGCGUUAUUAGGGUUCUGAAAGGAUGGGCAUCACUCAGCUGAAAGUAAAUGUUAACAUCUACAAGGUGAGCUUCUAGAAGGGUGAUCAUCCAUCGGUCUCAGGGCACAAGCCACACUCUGCCUCGUGGGGCUUAGGGGAGGUUCCUGCAAGGUGCCCAACACCUGGAGAGUUCCAAGGGAGCGAGGGGCUGUGCCUACCCAUAACAACACCAAAUACUGAGAGCAGCUGUGAGCCGAGACAGCCAUGGCUGUGCCUGGGCAGGGAGAGGUUCAGGAGGGGCGGAGGAGAGCCACGACUGGCAGGCCAAGCAAUGGUAGCUGCACACACAGCGGGUUCACUGCGGGCUUUUUGCAUCCCCACCUUCCUGGAUGUGUGCUCCAAUUCACAAGAGGUACUCUGGUUAUUCCGUGACACAAGGCGGGGUAAGAAGCUCGCUCUGACCUCAUCUUUUGCCCUACUUCCUUAUCUCGGAAUCUGGUGCACAGUGCCACACUUGUUCUCCCACAUAGUUUCCUUCACUGCCCUUCUCCUGGUGGGGACGGAGUUACGGAGCAGUGCUUCGUGGGGCACUUACUCUGCACAGCUCCCCAGGUGGGGAUGCAGCUCACGCAGCCAAAAGUGCUCCUUCAGCUGCCUCCUUUAAAGGCAAACUACACCGGUAGGGAUUGCACACCUGGAGCUGAACCAGAAUCCUGCAUACAAGACCCCCACUCAGCAGGAAAGCAGCCCAGGCCUUCAUAGACAAGUGCAGUCAGCAGCACUCUGCGUUGCUCUGCUCAGACUGCAGCGCAGCUCCUGUCUGCCCCGGGAAAGGAUGUGAGCAAUCCCUGCCUGCCUCUGAUUCACCGAGGAACAGCCAGACCAAAAAUCACUCCAGAUAAAAAACGCUAAGCUUGGCUUCACUGAUAAUUUAUCUAAUGGCUGGGAAGAUUGGGCUAAUAGAAGGGAGACGAGAGAGAGCAGCACUACAUUGCUAUGGAAACCAGAAUUUUCAAAAUAAAUACCUUUGCAGAACUGAGGUUGCAGAUCUAAAAUAGUCCAUGGCGUUUCUGACGUUUCCUCCCUUUGCCACCAGCCCCUUCCAGGCUGAGCAGCCUGCGGUGACACGGGAUAUCCCACGGCUCAUGUUCCUUAUUCCACUGCUGAGCCCUGAAUAGAAACCUUUGGGCCGUGCCUGUAUUUUUGGGGCCUGCAGACUGGCAGGUCGGUGCAGAACGAGUCCACGAGCACCGUUCAGCCUUUUGCUCCCUGUUAGCCCCAUUUCAUCCCGGAUGGCGUUUGGGCAGAAGGGCUCCCGCAGCCCACACCUCCCGCACCGCCUCGCUGCUGCUGCAAACAAGUCUGGGCUCCGGCAGUGCUGACUCACGGUGCUGAGCCUGUGGGAAAUAUUUGCUUAAAGAAGCAAAGCCCGGCAGGUUUCCUGCCCCUCCUUAUCUGCGAGCCCCUCACACGGCGGGCUGGAAGGAGGCCCUGCUUCCUGACAGGGGGCACGGGGCGGGCGCUUGUUUCCUCGUGAUAGCCCAGGUUCCUCUCGCCUCCCUGGGAGAAAGCCCCCAGCGCUCCCAGCCGCAGGUCUGCAGCUGCAGGGAGAUGAACGGCUUCUGGGUGGGCUGCCCUGAUAAAGCAUCGCCCGCUGCAGCGCGUUUCCUGCCCCGCCACGUGCCACGCAACGCGCUCUUCCCCACAGCCUUCUCCGAGCUGCACUUCGCUCCGACCGCUGCCUUCAGCGCAGCUGAGUCGCUGCAGACGGCAGCAACCGCUGUUUGCUUUGGGAGGGUUUGCCUCGCACCGAGACGCAGGCGAGCAGCGUCGGGUGCGAGGGAUGGGUUGCUGCGGCCGUGUCAGCACAGGCGAGGGGGGACCCGAGCCCACAGCGGGCUGCAGGGACAGCAGCGUGGGGAGAGCCGCGCUAUCAGAGCGGAGCGGGUCUGGGUGCGUUCUGCCCGUGGCAGCGUGCUGCUGUGCCAGAGCUGAUCGCUGCACCUGACCCCCCGUGCCCAGCUGACCGCCCACCGCAUGCACAGCUUGCCCUCCCCCCGGGAAACGGCCUCCUGUUGGCAGCAGGCUGAGCAUUGAGGGAAACAACCGCCUCUGAUGCCCACGCUAUUCACGUGGCAAAUGAAACCCUGAGCAGCAAGGAGCCUUUAUGAGGGGUGGGACAGGCGAGCCGCUGAGCUGCCUCCUCCUCCUCCUCCUCCCAGGACCUAUGCAACUCAUUUGCAAAGAGGCAGAGGGUGAGGAGCUCCAUUUGCAAGCGGGGCAGGGCAGCCCGGGGAGCAGCUCUGGCAGGGCAGGCUGCGGGCAGAGCUGGAUUGCAGUGCUCAGAAUGACUGUGCUAAAGGUCUGGGUAAUGACCCGGCAGGAGCUCCCACAGCCAUCCAGCACCCGCCGACAACGCAAGCUGGCUCCC